rnacentral:rRNA from 1 species
UGAGGAAUAUUGGUCAAUGGGCGAGAGCCUGAACCAGCCAAGUAGCAUGCAGGAUGACGGCCCUAUGGGUUGUAAACUGCUUUUGUAUGGGGAUAAAGUCAGUCACGUGUGAUUGUUUGCAGGUACCAUACGAAUAAGGACCGGCUAAUUCCGUGCCAGCAGCCGCGGUAAUACGGAAGGUCCGGGCGUUAUCCGGAUUUAUUGGGUUUAAAGGGAGCGUAGGCUGGAGAUUAAGUGUGUUGUGAAAUGUAGACGCUCAACGUCUGACUUGCAGCGCAUACUGGUUUCCUUGAGUACGCACAACGUUGGCGGAAUUCGUCGUGUAGCGGUGAAAUGCUUAGAUAUGACGAAGAACUCCGAUUGCGAAGGCAGCUGACGGGAGCGCAACUGACGCUGAAGCUCGAAGGUGCGGGUAUCGAACAGGAUUAGAUACCCUGGUAGUCCGCACAGUAAACGAUGGAUGCCCGCUGUUGGUACCUGGUAUCAGCGGCUAAGCGAAAGCAUUAAGCAUCCCACCUGGGGAAUACGCCGGCAACGGUG